rnacentral:lncRNA from 1 species
UUGAUAUCGGUUCUCAAAUGAAUUUGAUCGUAGACCUUACCUUAAUUAAAAACGUUAUUCUUAGUUUCAUUUUCCGUCAAAAUCAAACAGAUCAUAACAUGCAAAAAUGAGUGGAAUAAAAAGUAUUUCCUUUUCCCGCUGAAUUUUAGAUUUGACGGUGAUAGUUCUUACAUAAAACUGCUAGAAAAUUCCUUCUCUAAAAAUUUGUAAUUUUAAGUAUUGUAACAGUCAUGCACAUUGAGAGUAACUUAAUUUAAAAAGUCCAAAUAUUAAAUCUACAAGAUUUGUAUCUAAUAAAUUCAUGUCUUUACUUUUUUAGCAGCUUUCACGAUAGUUAGAACAGCCACUGGACUCAUCUUUUGAAUAUUUAAAAAAAAAUGCAUACCAUGGCAUCCAAAUAGCAGCCCAUCCGGUGCAGUGCAUGCAGAAAGUGCAAUAAUGCUAGUGUUUUUAUUUUUUAUUUAUAUGAUUGCUUGAUUGCUUAAUUUGUAACGCCUUUUUGUUUCUUUAUUAUCUGCAUGGUGUGCUUAAUAUUCUUACUUAUACUUUGUUUUAAUAAAAAUUUUCUUUUACAAUAAAGGUUCCCUUAAAUAUGACUGAAACUAAUCUUCGACUAGCUGUCAGCAACUGCGAGCAUUCUCAGAUCUGUAUACUUAUUGUCUUUUUGUUGUGGGAUGGAUAAGUACCCUGCCACCUC